rnacentral:rRNA from 1 species
AUUGAACGCUGGCGGAAUGCUUAACACAUGCAAGUCGAGCGGGGUGUAGCAAUACACCUAGCGGCGGACGGGUGAGGAAUACAUAGGAAUCUGCCUCAGAGCGGGGGAUAGCCCGGGGAAACCCGGAUUAAUACCGCAUGAUGUCGCAAGACCAAAGUGGGGGACCGUAAGGCCUCACACCCUGAGAUGAGCCUAUGUCGGAUUAGCUAGUUGGCGGGGUAAAAGCCCACCAAGGCUACGAUCCGUAGCUGGUCUGAGAGGACGAUCAGCCACACCGGAACUGAGACACGGUCCGGACUCCUACGGGAGGCAGCAGUGGGGAAUAUUGGACAAUGGGCGCAAGCCUGAUCCAGCAAUUCCGCGUGUGU